ensembl:lncRNA
CUGCCUUUUCCCAAAGCUUUAAUCAGCUUCAUGGUUCAGCUGGUUGACCCUACAGUGUAGACGAAGCUGAAUCAGAAACGUGUUAACAAAUCCCUGGGAAGCACAGACUAGUACCUAGAAUGAGAUUGUACAAAAAAUAUACUGUAAUAUUAAACUUCAUAAGUAAUUCAGAUGCAAGCUAAAUACAGGAUGGUAUUCCACAUUUGAGAUUGUGGUCAUGCAUUAAGGAAAAGUGGUUUGAUAUUAUUGAGUGACAUUUUCUUGGCUUUAUAUCCCAGUUUAAACAAUGCUUGUUGAAUCCUAUAUGUAGUUUGCGUUAGUUUGGUGUUAAUACAUUUCAGUGUUUUGUUUAAAUCCCAGUGUAAAAUGUGGCUCAAGUUUAUUAGCAGUACAUGUCUUUUUUUUUUUUUACUAGUUUUAAUCGAAGCAAUUCAUCUUUGCAGUGAUUAAUAGUAUCUGCAAAUUCAUUCUGGAGUGAGCGGGAAACAAAUUCCCUACUUAGACAAAUGUACAUAGUCAAAACUUCACAUUAAAGGACCUACAUUUUGUAGCGUUAAGAGAUCCACAAGAAAUGUAGUGGUGUAUCAUUUAAAUUGUAUUAAUGUCUGUUUAAAAGUAACAAAGUUUGAUAUUUAAAUUUACUACUAAGAAAUAUCUGUAUAUUUUUUUUGUCUGUAUUGAAAUUCAUACUUUCUUUUUAACUGACAUUAACACAAUAUACAUAGUAAAUAUAUUCUUCUUAAUCUUGGGCCUGAAGACCCAAAGCCAUGUACAUUUUUAUUUUGGUCCUAGCAUUUCACAGCUGAUUCAGUCAACAUUAUCAUCACAUGCUCUCCUUUGGGUCCCCAGGACAAGAAUUAAGAAACACUGCUGUAGAGAACCUAAAUGUAAAAAAUGUGUUGGUUAAAUCUUUAUAUAUCUAUUAACUGCAAAUGUGGGUAAAAUGGUAUAAGAUUAAAUAUGAAUGUGUUUUAAUGUUUUUCUGAUUUGUGUUCCUCCUAAAACUGUACCUUUUACAGUACCUACUAUACAGAAUGUCACAUUAACUGCAUGGAUUGAGUCCUGAAUGCAGAUUUGCUGAAAGCUAUUAUAUAUCAAAUGUUUGUUUACUCUUUAAAUUACAAUGGUAACCAGUUUAUAAUACCAAUAAGGCACUUAGCGGGCUUGUGGAAUGUGGCCAACACACUACGACUAAGAGAUGUAUCCAAGCAUUGUACAAACAGCUUUUAGCAGUGAUAUAUUGGCCACAAACCAUCCUCCUUUUGCCCUAUUGCUUAGAUGUACUGUGGGUUUGAUGCAAAUUCCUUGAUUACUUUUUGAAUUAUACAUCUAAACAUUUAGAAAUUGCAAUAAGGCACCUUAGGGGGGUUAUGGUAUUUGGCUUAGCCAUAAUGCUAAGAGCUGUUCUUGGGCAAGAGAUUAUAUUGAUGCCAUGUUUCAGACGUUGGAAAGGUCCAUUGUCAGCUUAAUUAAAA